rnacentral:rRNA from 1 species
AGCGAACGCUGGCGGCAGGCCUAACACAUGCAAGUCGAACGAACCUUUCGGGGUUAGUGGCGGACGGGUGAGUAACACGUGGGAACGUGCCUUUAGGUUCGGAAUAACUCAGGGAAACUUGUGCUAAUACCGAAUGUGCCCUUCGGGGGAAAGAUUAAUCGCCUUUAGAGCGGCCCGCGUCUGAUUAGCUAGUUGGUUGAGGUAAUGGCUCACCAAGGCGACGAUCAGUAGCUGGUCUGAGAGGAUGAUCAGACACAUUGGGACUGAGACACGGCCCAAACUCCUACGGGAGGCAGCAGUGGGGAAUCUUGCGAAAUGGGCGAAAGCCUGACGCAGCCAUGCCGCGUGAAUGAUGAAGGUCUUAGGAUUGUAAAAUUCUUUCACCGGGGACGAUAAUGACGGUACCCGGAGAAGAAGCCCCGGCUAACUUCGUG